GGAGGGGACAGCUCAGUGGUGGAGUGUGUGCUUAGCGUGCACGAGGUCCUGGGUUCAACCCCCGGCACCUCCA
rnacentral:tRNA from 1 species